rnacentral:rRNA from 1 species
UACGGAGGGUGCAAGCGUUAUCCGGAUUUACUGGGUUUAAAGGGUGCGUAGGUGGGUAAGUAAGUCAGUGGUGAAAUCUUCGAGCUUAACUCGGAAACUGCCAUUGAUACUAUUUAUCUUGAAUACUUUGGAGGUAAGCGGAAUAUGUCAUGUAGCGGUGAAAUGCUUAGAUAUGACAUAGAACACCAAUUGCGAAGGCAGCUUACUACACAGUUAUUGACACUGAGGCACGAAAGCGUGGGGAUCAAUCAGG